UGUUGGUCUAGAAAUGUUUUUGGUGAUUCGAUUCCGGGGGCCCUUCCCAUGCGAAAUGUGACAAGACCGUAACUCAAACACGACGAUCUGUCCGGCCUAGCGAACUUUCAAUGCCAAAGUUAGCUAGUCAGCAUACCCGGAAGCUUAGUAGAACUUAAGAAAGACUAAGCUUGUAGAAACUUGGCGAAGGAAACUAGUAGUUGGAGGAAAGAACUCUUUUAUUAAGAGAACUUCGAGAAAUUUACAAUGCUUUGAAUGCUUACAACUUUGCUUAAUUGCUUGAUGCCAAAUGAAAUGCCUAAGAUGCCUAUUUAUACUAGUUGGAUACCUAAAUGGACGGUUGGGAUCAAUUUGAUCCGACGGCUAAAAUUAAGUCUCUAGACUCUUCCUAAGUAAUAAUCUAAGAUAUUUACACAAGUUGGCUGCCCUUGCUGCCCAUGGCCGAAUCUAGAAGCCUCCACAUGAUUCUAGGCUUGUCUUCAACAAUCUGCACAAUUCUAGAGUCUUCCAGGGCCUUCCGGGGCACGCUGGACUGUUCCGGAAGCAUUUUGGAGCUGUUUUGAGCCUGUUUUGGAGCGAAAAUAGUGCCGUCCAUAACA
rnacentral:lncRNA from 1 species